ACAAGCGGUGGAGCAUGUGGUUUAAUUCGAUGCAACGCGAAGACUUACCUGGGCUGACAUCCCAAGAAUCCCUGGAAACAGGGGAGUGCCCUUCGGGAGCUUGGAGACAGGUGCUGCAUGGCUGUCGUCAGCUCGUGUCGUGAGAUGUUGGGUUAAGUCCCGCAACGAGCGCAACCCUUGCCUUUAGUUGCCAUCAUUCAGUUGGGCACUCUAGAGGGACUGCCGGUGUCAAACCGGAGGAAGGUGGGAUGACGUCAAGUCCUCAUGGCCUUUAUGCCCAGGGCUACACACGUGCUACAAUGGGCGGUACAAAGAGCAGCGAGCUCGCGAGAGUAAGCAAAUCUCAAAAAGCCGUCCUCAGUUCGGAUUGGAGUCUGCAACUCGACUCCAUGAAGUUGGAAUCGCUAGUAAUCGCGGAUCAGCAUGCCGCGGUCGAAUACGUUCCCGGGCCUUGU
rnacentral:rRNA from 1 species